rnacentral:rRNA from 1 species
GGAUUCCCCUAGUAACUGCGAGUGAAGCGGGAAAAGCUCAAAUUUAAAAUCUGGUGGCCUUUGGCCAUCCGAGUUGUAAUUUAGAGAAGCGUCUUCCGCGCUGGACCGUGCACAAGUCUCCUGGAAUGGAGCGUCAUAGAGGGUGAGAAUCCCGUCUUUGGCACGGACACACCAGGGCUUCUGUGAUGCGCUCUCGAAGAGUCGAGUUGUUUGGGAAUGCAGCUCAAAAUGGGUGGUGAACUCCAUCUAAAGCUAAAUAUUGGCGAGAGACCGAUAGCGAACAAGUACCGUGAGGGAAAGAUGAAAAGCACUUUGGAAAGAGAGUGAAACAGUACGUGAAAUUGUUGAAAGGGAAACGCUUGAAGUCAGUCGCGUUGGACGAGACUCAGCCUUGCCUUGGCUUGGUGUACUUCUCGGCCGACGGGUCAGCAUCAAUUUUGCCCCUUGGAUAAUGGCGAGGGAAAUGUGACACCUUUACGGGUGUGUUAUAGUCCUUCGUCGCAUGCAAGGGUCGGGAUUGAGGAAUUCGGCACGCGCCUUUCGGCGUCGGGGCUUGCCCACGAUACGUGCUUAGGAUGUUGGCGUAAUGGCUUUAAACGACCCGUCUUGAAACACGGACCAAGGAGUCCAACAUGCCCGCGAGUGUUCGGGUGGAAAACCCGUGCGCGCAAUGAAAGUGAAAGUUGGGACCUCCGUCGUGGAGGGCACCGACGCCCGGACCAGACCUUCUGUGACGGAUCUGCGGUGGAGCGUGUAUGUUGGGACCCGAAAGAUGGUGAACUAUGCCUGAAUAGGGUGAAGCCAGAGGAAACUCUGGUGGAGGCUCGUAGCGAUUCUGACGUGCAAAUCGAUCGUCAAAUUUGGGUAUAGGGGCGAAAGACUAAUCGAACCAUCUAGU